rnacentral:lncRNA from 1 species
UAUAUAUAUUCAUACGUAUUAUCGCACUCAGUAUAUAGCGCAAUGAGUCGCUCAUGAUAUAUUUUAUAUGGCUCCACUAAAAAAUGUAGAAAUAUUUCUCUAUAUGAUUUUAUCUUUAUUUUAUUUCAUCAAUCAAAUAAAAUAAAUUUGAAAAGCCAUAAAAUUAAGGAUUAAUUUCAUACAGAUUUCUGCAAACAUAGUGAGUUGCAAAUAUAUUUAUACAAAGUUCAACUUUCAUAUAUUGUCCUUAUAAAAGUUCUAAUAUUUUCAAAUAUAUCUCUCUAGUUUGUUACCGUUAAAACACUGUUUAUUUUAUAAGUAAAAUGACAUUUUUGUCAUCACAAAUAUAUUUUUAAAAAAAUUUCAAUUGUUAAUUGAAGAGGAGUAAAAAGGUCAAUUCACCUUAUUAACUAGCUAAGAUUAAAUAUUUUACUAUAGUUAAUUUUUCUAACGGAUCUUAACGACAACGACAUAUUUAAAAACAUCAAGAGUUUUGUAGGGAUAACAUAUGAAAGUUAAAUUCUAUAGAAAUAUAUUUACAAUUAACUAUGUGUGUAGGGAUCUGCAUAAAAUUAGCCGUAAAAUUAAAUAAGUUAUAGUUGAGGG